rnacentral:lncRNA from 1 species
CGUACUCGGUCAUUUUCGACCCCGUAAUAUAGUUUACUUGGAGCUAGAGAUGUCUUUGCUGUUCAUGAGAGAUUCUCAUAGAGCUCAGGUUGUGGGGUAUAUUUAUAAACUGCAAAGAUAUGAUCUAUUUAAUAUUGAUUCAGCAAUUGACGUGAAGUUCUGUGGAAUUAGUGGCGGUUGUUUAACAAACUCGAAUCAUGUCCUGUUCUUUCAAGAUUGAUUAGUGAAGCACCAUCCUGACUAUGGUGUCAUGUUCAUUGGUGGUAACGACAUUGAUUAACCAGGCUCUUCUGCAGUAAAUGCAGAGACCAUAGUAUUACGAAUUGUUACAAUUGCUAAACUUUUCUUACUUGCUACAAUCCGAAACAUAUCUUUAUUUGCCAAUUUAUUCUAAGGCAACACACCCGCCACAUCCCAGCGUACAUAUACAAUGAUUUUAUUAUUACUGAGAGAAGCAGACAGGGUGUUUAAGCAAGAACUUGGAAUAUUGAACGUACUGAAAUUUGAAAAGACUGAAACAUUCUAAUGCUAACAUUUUACAGAUAGAUGGUGUUCAUUUCAACAACCUGGGAUUUGAAAUUUUUCCGCAAUGUGAGAGGAAUAAUUUUGAAGUGCAUAGCAGAUAUGUAAUUCACACAUGUACUGGAAGAUACUGUAUUCUAAUUGAUGGCACAUUUGUAUCUAUAUUAUCAUAUAACAACAGCGAAGGCUGCUGCAGCUGAGGAAGCUGCUAAAACCAAACGAAGAACAAACUAAAUUGAGCAGGUUUCAGGAGCUAACACAUCCAAUUUAUCAGAAAAAGACUUGAACACAAUUAUAUCAAAUGUUGUUCCUGCUGUCACACAAGGUAUGUUGUAGGUUUUAAAAGACUUGAAGAUACUACCGCCUGACAUUAUUCAGAACCAAAACUUCGGAAAACAACAGAUACUUUUGGAAUCCACACAAAACACUUCAACAUCUGCUCCAACACCAACUUUGGCAGUUUCAGUUAUGAAUCUAAAUUCUGCCACAUUUUCGCGUCCACUUUUUCUUGGUAUUGAUGAAAAAGUCAAAGCUAAGAUUGUAUCAGAUCAGUUUGUGGAUUUAGAUUCCAUAUAAAAUAAACUUUAAGGUGAUUAUAAAUAUCGCUUAGUCGAAAAUGGCAGUGGGGAACCCUCGUUCAAAAAAGUUUUAAAUCCCCGACCAGUAUAAAAACGGAUCAAGGGUUUAAUACAUUUCAUAUUUCUACAAGUGUUUACACAGACAGACACCCAACAUCUGCUGCUACUUUAAUGAAACAUUGCGACACAGUUCAUAAACUUGCAAAGCAAUCGGGGGAUUCCGCUGCCAUUUUUACGAUAGACAAUUUCGUCUCUUAAAAGAAGCAAGAUUUGCUUUGAUUUCAUAUGGGGAAGUCGAUACCCAUUUAUAAACGCAGGCACUGGCCAUGGGGUUAAUUAACCCAAAAACAAAAACAGUCCUUUCUUGGCGCAAGAUCCCACCAAAACAAACUGUGCUUUGAUUUCAACAACGGGUCUUGUGUAAGAAAAUCGUGCACCUUUCAGCACAGAUGUCAAAAGUGUCCCGGUCCUGGACGAAUUGUAUGUUUUAAAAAGGUGCAAUCAAAUUUCAGAGAAUUCUGAGAACCUAUGAUACUGACUCCAAGGUACGACUUGAAGUUAACUGAAUAUUUGAUGAACGGUUUCACAAAGGGCUUUAAAAUACCUUUUACAGGUACUCAUUCUAAUAAAUUUCCUGGGAAUUUCAAAUCUGCGACUGAAAAUUUAGAGGACAUAAAUCACUGUUGAAAUUGAUGCGGAUCGUGUUCCGGUUCCUUUCAAUGAACCACCUGACCUCAACUCUGGGUUUAGUACCAAAUCAGGAACCCAGUGAAUUUCGUGGAAUACAUCAUUUAUCUUUUCCAGAAGGUCAAUCUGUUAAGGCUGGAAUCCCACCAGAAAUGCGUUUUGUUCAAUAUCAAAAUAUUGAUGAUGCAGUAGAAUUUGUGAAAACUAUUGGACCUGGUGCGCUUCUGUCAAAAUUUAUGUCCAAAGUGCAUUUAAAAUCAUUCCAAUGCAGUUGUAGGCUUGGUAAAUAAACAUCUCAUGACCUAAGUAUUAUAUGCAUGGUCAGAAGAUUAGUUCUACAAUGUUUGAAAUAUAACUUUUUGUUUUAAGACACGCAUUUUAAAAGCAUUGCAAGGUUAUCAUAAUUUAGUUCCUAAAACAGACACAAGUUUGCCAGUUGCAUAACUUAAUACGGUCAAUGGACGUAGUUUGCAAUUCGCAAUUCCUACGUAUACUGCUAACAGCCAUUUAUUUAUUGACCUUUCAUGUUUCCUUCGAGUUGGAGAAUUUAUUUCUUCCUCUCCUGACUCGUAUAUUAUAGUAGUAGAACAUGUAUAUAUAACAUUCAAUCGAACUAAAUCGCUUUGACUUGGUUUUGAAAAGCUAUAAAUAUAGUCGAGGCAAGACCCAUAAACUGCAUAUAUCAUGUUGUCACCAUGAAUUAAGUAUGCGCCCAUUGCAUGCAUUGUACUCGUAUUAUACAUUAAGUAACGCUCCACCUGGCCCACUAUUUUCGUUUUUGAAAAUAAUCCAGUGACAAGAUCUUUCUUUUGUACCAAGCUGCAAAUGUCACUCACACGGUUAGGUUAUAGUACUGACUUUUACAAAGGUCAUAGUUUCCGCAUUGGUGCGGCAUUGCAAAGAGGUUU